rnacentral:rRNA from 1 species
CCUACGGGUGGCUGCAGUGGGGAAUAUUGGGCAAUGGGCGCAAGCCUGACCCAGCAACGCCGCGUGAAGGAAGAAGGCUUUCGGGUUGUAAACUUCUUUUGUCAGGGAAGAGUAGAAGACGGUACCUGACGAAUAAGCCACGGCUAACUACGUGCCAGCAGCCGCGGUAAUGCGUAGGUGGCGAGCGUUGUCCGGAUUUACUGGGUGUAAAGGGCGUGUAGCCGGGUUGACAAGUCAGAUGUGAAAUACUGCGGCUUAACCGCAGAACUGCAUUUGAAACUGUUGAUCUUGAGUACUGGAGAGGCGGACGGAAUUCCUAGUGUAGCGGUGAAAUGCGUAGAGAUUAGGAGGAACACCAGUGACGAAGGCGGUCUGCUGGACAGCAACUGACGGUGAGGCGCGAAAGCGUGGGGAGCAAACAGGAUUAGAUACCCGAGUAGUC